GUUGGAGCUUACCCCAGGAGCAGUGAGGUAUCUGGACGGUUUCAAGCUGGAAGUGACAUGGUAAGAUCUGGAUCUUAAAGAACUGGAGGGUAAGUUUAUGGUGGGGGUAGCAGGCUGGAAGCAGAGAAGAGGCAAGGAGACUGUUGUCAAAACCCAGCAAAAAUGAUAGUUGCCUGGACUGGGGAGGGCGUUCCAGAGGCUAUGAAAACAUGGGGGCCAGACUCAGCCACUUCAAACUCACAGGUGGCUGGAGCAUCUCAUGGGACCGCCAUUCCAACAGACAUACUUUGGGAAACAUUCUAAAACCUUUCCUUUGGAAGAGUAGAAAAAUUUUAGGAAAAAAAAAAUAAA